rnacentral:rRNA from 1 species
AUACGUAGGUGGCAAGCGUUGUCCGGAAUUACUGGGUGUAAAGGGCGUGUAGGCGGGGAUUUAAGUCAGAUGUGAAAUUCCGGAGCUCAACUCCGGCGCUGCAUCUGAAACUGAAUUUCUUGAGUGCUGGAGAGGAAAGCGGAAUUCCUAGUGUAGCGGUGAAAUGCGUAGAGAUUAGGAGGAACACCAGUGGCGAAGGCGGCUUUCUGGACAGUAACUGACGCUGAGGCGCGAAAGCGUGGGGAGCAAACAGGAUUAGAUACCCUGGUAGUCCACGCCGUAAACGAUGGAUACUAGGUGUAGGAGGUAUCGACCCCUUCUGUGCCGGAGUUAACACAAUAAGUAUCCCACCUGGGGAGUACGGCCGCAAGGUUGAA